CUACACAUGCAAGUCGAGCGGUAGCACAGGAGAGCUUGCUCUCUGGGUGACGAGCGGCGGAGGGAGAGAAAUGUCUGGGAAACUGCCCGAUGGAGGGGGAUAACUACUGGAAACGGUAGCUAAUACCGCAUAACGUCUUCGGACCAAAGUGGGGGACCUUCGGGCCUCACACCAUCGGAUGUGCCCAGAUGGGAUUAGCUAGUAGGUGAGGUAAUGGCUCACCUAGGCGACGAUCCCUAGCUGGUCUGAGAGGAUGACCAGCCACACUGGAACUGAGACACGGUCCAGACUCCUACGGGAGGCAGCAGUGGGGAAUAUUGCACAAUGGGCGCAAGCCUGAUGCAGCCAUGCCGCGUGUGUGAAGAAGGCCUUCGGGUUGUAAAGCACUUUCAGCGAGGAGGAAGGGUACAGUGUUAAUAGCGCUGUGCAUUGACGUUACUCGCAGAAGAAGCACCGGCUAACUCCGUGCCAGCAGCCGCGGUAAUACGGAGGGUGCAAGCGUUAAUCGGAAUUACUGGGCGUAAAGCGCACGCAGGCGGUUUGUUAAGUCAGAUGUGAAAUCCCCGAGCUUAACUUGGGAACUGCAUUUGAAACUGGCAAGCUAGAGUCUUGUAGAG
rnacentral:rRNA from 1 species